rnacentral:rRNA from 1 species
UAAGGAAUAUUGGACAAUGCCCGCAAGGGUGAUCCAGCCAUGCCGCGUGCAGGAAGACGGCCCUAUGGGUUGUAAACUGCUUUUGUACCGGAGAAAACCUCCCCUCGUGAGGGGAGCUGAUAGUAUGGUACGAAUAAGCAUCGGCUAACUUCGUGCCAGCAGCCGCGGUAAGACGAAGGAUGCAAGCGUUAUCCGGAUUCAUUGGGUUUAAAGGGAGCGUAGGUGGACUGAUAAGUCAGUGGUGAAAUCUUCGAGCUUAACUCGGAAAUUGCCAUUGAUACUGUUGGUCUUGAGUACAGUUGCUGUGGGCGGAAUAUGACAUGUAGUGGUGAAAUACAUAGAGAUGUCAUAGAACACCGAUUGCGAAGGCAGCUCACAAAACUGUAACUGACACUGAGGCUCGAAAGUGUGGGGAUCAAA